GGACAAGCUCCGCACAAAUGGAUUGGAUGAGACAUUGUACGGAGC
rfam:Catabacter hongkongensis strain HKT16 2806ref_2ab_c16, whole genome shotgun sequence.